CCAGAGUCAGUGGCUUGGUCCAGGGCUGCAUGGUGCCAACAGGGAUGCAUCGAUCCCUGUCAGGUUGUGCCCAGAGUGGCCUCACUAAAUCAGACUUCACCAGGUGGCUAUGGAGAUUACAGGCUGACAUCAAUCAGCGUGAGGGCUGGAGGUUUGCUCCUCAUCAACCCCUUCAGGGUCCCCUAAGGGUCUCUUCAGGAAAUGCCUGGCCUGGACAAUAGACUCUGGACUAGAUAUGGAUAAGAGGAAUGGGGACUCUGUGUGUAUGGAUAAACUGUGUGUGUGUGUGUGUGUGUGUGUGUGUGUGUGUGUGUGUGUGUGUGUGUGUGUGUGUGUGUGUGUGUGUGUGUGUGUGUGUGUGUGUGUGUGUGUGUGUGUGUGUGUGUGUGUGCUAAUGCAAAACUUGCUUUAACUCACCUCAGUUAGUCAGUUAUCUCUUGAUAACAGUAUCACACUGCAGCACAGCAGUUACCCCUCCCUUACAAAAUAACUUGAUACCAUUACCUUCAUUAUCAAACAGAAAAGGAAUAUAAUGCUGCCACAUUUACACUGAAUGCAAUUGUGACACACUCUAUAUUUUCCCUCGCCACGAGUCCUCUAGCGGGAGUGAUGGGUGACCCGCCACACACAAAACCACUUCCUGUGGCUGAGGGCCCAGCUGGUAGCCUGAGGAAGGGUAAUUAUACAGAGCACGGUGAAUUGAGACUGAUUAUGGAAGCGUCUGUCACAGACCAGAGGAACAGGCAUGGAGAUCUGAGGAAAAAGAGCAUGCAGCACUACUGGACCGAAGCUUGAAGAGGGGUCAGACAGAGCGGGGGUAGCGCCACUUCGGACAGCACGGGGUGCCCUGCCUCUCUCACCUGGCCAGACCCACUGGCUCUCUACGGACCCCUGCUGCCCCUGCUACCUGGAUACAGACCAGACAUAGCAGCUUCUUCAACAAGCCAGAGGAGCUUUGGAGGGGAGUUCUGGCGGAGACUGGCGCCGGAGCUCGGAAGGGUCGAGGGAAGAGGACCAAGAGGAAGAUGAAGAAAAAUCUGAACUGAGGCCAGAACAUCGGAGAAGGGCAUCGGGGGGUUCCUGUGGCUGGGGUUGAACGCAGCCCAUCCUGAAGAGUGGGGCCAUACAGAACAUGUCCUGCCGUGUGGAGUCGGAGCAACAGGAACUGCAGGGGGAGCUUCUGCGGCAGCGUGACGAAUGAGAUCGCAGGAGGAAGAUGAGGGUGAAGAGGGAGCGAGGGUGGACUGGCAUCAGUCUGGGGCCCCCUGACCCUGGACCCAACGGAGUUUACCAUGACAUCAACUCCACCUUCAAGAGGACCACCCUACUCAUGAAGAAACAGCACCGAGGGGUGGUAGAGCAUUUUGGGGCGGCAGGAUAGCCUAGUGGUUAGAGCGUUGGACUAGUAACCGAAAGGUUGCAAGUUUGAAUCCCUGAGCAGACAAGGUUACGGACUACACUGUCACCGCGCGGUCAUCACCAUCUGUAAGCUGAUUGGUGUAGAGGACAUGUACGCCAAGGAAGAGGGCUCCGUCAACCUGCUCAACAUCACCAUGGCUCUGUUCACCAGACUGGCCAAUCAGAGACCCAACAGUUUCUGGCUGGUGAGUUUCAGCCGGAGCGCGGGCCCCUGCCCCUCAUCGUGGCCACCCCUAAGAAUGGAGUGCAUCCUGACCACAAACCCGAGGAAGAGACAGGACAUGAAACGCAUGACAGGGCAUGUGACGUUGUCGAAAAUGAGAGCUGUCUAAUAAAAAUGUAAACUCUCCAAAAUGGCUUGUGUUGUGUGCAAUUGCUUUUGAAGGAGCUGUCAGGACAUGUCAUGCUUUGAUGACAGUUAUAGUGAUCAUUUCCUCAGCAGCUGUCCACUGCUCGCUCCGGAGGCUCUUGCUGCUUUAGCUUUUCAGUUCAUUUCCGCCUACAUUCCAGUAUGCAACUACUAACAGUCACCACCUUCCACAAGCAGCAAGAAAACGAAACAAUGCAGCAAGAAAAUAGCAUCAAACAACUCAAGAGCUUUAAACAGUGAAUGACGUUGUAAAGUCAAAGUAUACAUUUCUGCUGUACUUUUCCGUACUCUGACUUUCCAUGUUAUCUCUCCUUGACUCUAUUUUCAGACUCUAAUGGUCCCUUUAGUCAACUUAUGAGUUAUUAACAAUUAUGUGUCCUGUUUACCUCAACUUGGCAACCCCUUGGCAGGGAGUCUCUAGUUUGUAGUCUGAAGAAGCAUUAAUUCAGACAUGAACAGCUCUCCAAAAAGGGAUCCUUCCAAUAGUGCUGUCUGUCUUAAGCCAGACAGGCCAGACAGGCAUUUAUUUCAAUAGUGUUCUCUUAAUAUGGUCUUGAACUUGAUGGUUGAACUAAUGGUAGGAUUCAAACUAAGUAGUUCUUUGAAGACUUUCAGCUGAAUGGUUUGUGCAGUACAGGUGUAAUGUGUUAUGUGACAUCUCCACCACUUGGGGGUGCUAUUAGCACCUGAUAUUCAGGCUUCUUAUAUUGUUAACCCUUAUUAUGGAUAAAAUGUGGAUUUUUAUGUCAGUCAUGAGACUACAAUAUUGUACAUAUACUGUAUAUGAUAUGACAUCUCGUAGUUAAGUUCCUUGUUUUUCACCUUUCAUGAAGUAUCAUUCGAUUUAUUGUAUUCCAACGAAUCUAACAACAAAUCCUGUUCCACUGGGCACAGGUGUAAUUCCAAAGUCAAGGUUUGAUUUACAUUUGUUUGAGUUGUCAGCUAACGUGAUUUCAACGUGAAAAUUUGAAAAAAUGGCACCAUGUCAUGGCACCAUGAUUAGAUUAAAAGUUGGGUGGGGGAAAAAAUGUAUUCCCUUGCGUUGAUGUCUUUGCAUAUCCAAUCAGUUUCCGACAUAGAUUCAGCAUCAUCAUAUUACAUUUCAGUGGAUGCCUCCUGCCCUGGGGCGGCAGGGUAGCCUAGUGGUUGGAGCGUUGGACUAGUAACCGGAAGGUUGCAAGUUUAAAUCCCUGAGCUGACAAGGUACAAAUCUGUCAU